rnacentral:rRNA from 1 species
AGGUUAAGUCCUGCAACGAGCGCAACCCUCGUCGCUAGUUAAUUUCACUAGCGAUACUGCCCGUAAAACGAGGAGGAAGGUGGGGAUGACGUCAAGUCAGCAUGGCCCUUACGCCUUGGGCUACACACACGCUACAAUGGGUGAUACAACGGGAUGCCAAAGAGCAAUCUGGAGCUAAUCCCUAAAAAUCAUCCUCAGUUCGGAUUGUAGGCUGAAACUGCCUGCAUGAAGAUGGAGUUGCUAGUAACCGCAGGUCAGCUAUACUGCGGUGAAUACGUUCCCGGGGGCUU